rnacentral:rRNA from 1 species
GACGAACGCUGGCGGCGUGCUUAACACGUGCAAGUCGAACGAGAAUCUACUGAAAGAGUUUUCGGACAAUGGAUGUAGAGGAAAGUGGCGGACGGGUGAGUAACGCGUGAGGAACCUGCCUUGAAGAGGGGGACAACAGUUGGAAACGACUGCUAAUACCGCAUGACGCAUAGAGGUCGCAUGAUCUUUAUGCCAGAGAUUUAUCGCUUCAAGAUGGCCUCGCGUCUGAUUAGCUGGUUGGCGGGGUAACGGCCCACCAAGGCGACGAUCAGUAGCCGGACUGAGAGGUUGAACGGCCACAUUGGGACUGAGAUACGGCCCAGACUCCUACGGGAGGCAGCAGUGGGGAAUAUUGGGCAAUGGGCGCAAGCCUGACCCAGCAACGCCGCGUGAAGGAAGAAGGCUUUCGGGUUGUAAACUUCUUUUAAGAGG